GACGAACGCUGGCGGCGUGCCUAAUACAUGCAAGUCGAGCGAAGUUUUUCUGGUGCUUGCACUAGAAAAACUUAGCGGCGAACGGGUGAGUAACACGUAAAGAACCUGCCUCAUAGACUGGGACAACUAUUGGAAACGAUAGCUAAUACCGGAUAACAGUAUUUCUCGCAUGAGAGAUAUUUAAAAGUUGGUUAUGCUAACACUAUGAGAUGGCUUUGCGGUGCAUUAGCUAGUUGGUGGGGUAAAGGCCCACCAAGGCGACGAUGCAUAGCCGACCUGAGAGGGUGAUCGGCCACACUGGGACUGAGACACGGCCCAGACUCCUACGGGAGGCAGCAGUAGGGAAUCUUCCGCAAUGGGCGAAAGCCUGACGGAGCAUCGCCGCGUGAGUGAAGAAGGAUUUCGGUUCGUAAAGCUCUGUUGUUAGGGAAGAAUGGAUAUGUAGUAACUAUACAUGUAAGAGACGGUACCUAACCAGAAAGCCACGGCUAACUACGUG
rnacentral:rRNA from 1 species